AAAAAUAGGAACCGAGCUCUGGGGGUACAGGUACACGGUCCAACACAUGAACCGUCCCGUACCGGACCGAAGUCCCGAAUAAUUCUGACCGUUAGAUUUAGGGGAUAAGGGAUCUGUCUCAGCCAUUGGAUUAAUAGGGGGUAUAUAAGCUCACUGUGAGAAGGAGAAGAAAUUCUUAGGGUUUCAGUUCCCUUAAUUUUUUCUCGCCUCUUCUCAGUACUUCUCUCUGAGAAGGAGAAGAAAUUCUCCCCUUCUUCUGAUCUUCAUCUUCUCUGUUAACCUUCAAUCAAACGAUUAAAAGUUCAAACCGUAUUACUUCGUCUGUCUCUUCGUUUUUAAUUCCGGUGUGAAGAAAAUUAGAAGAACAAUUCCGGUGCGAGUAGCGGCUUAAAGGAUUUUCUUCAUCUCCCACCAAACCUUCAUAGCGAGUAGCGGCUUAAAGGAUUCACUGCAAUCACCGAAGUGCCAACUUUGUCAGUGAUGGAAAUAUGGCGUCAUUUCACUCGGAGAAAUGUUGAAGAACCCUCUUGCAAUUACUGUGGAAGGACUUAUAGGGCUAACAUGUCCAGAAAUGGAACUUCUGCCUUGUGGAAUGCUUAGAAGUUGCAAUAAUGCUUAGAAGU